UUUUCAACAUUUUAUUACUUCAAUCUGUGUCUUACAAGUUACGACAGUUUCAGUAGGAAUGUUUGAAGGACAAUGGCUUCUGCUUUUUUCACAUUCACGGGGCGUAGGGGGCGUGGCUGACUCGAGGCUGACUCCUGACAACUAUUAAAAUACUGUCAGGGGAAUUAUCAGCUAUUAUAAUCACUGCAGGGGCCUUCAGUAACCUCUAUGACGCUCUACCUCACAUCCCGUUUUGCUUUGUUCUGGUUUGGUCAGGUCUGCUUCGUUCCUAUUGAAUCACCGAAGCUUCAUAUCACCUCAAAAGACACUCACCACAAAUCACUUCAGCAUUCUCACACUUCUGAAUCACCACUAUCACCAUCACCACCAGCCCCUGACAGCCCUAAUAUGCACAUCACCAGCCCUGUCAGCCCCAAUCAGCCUCACCUCCGCAGCCCUUGACUAUGGAACAAACGGGCGGGCAUUGGUACGGAAGGGAGGAACUCAGACUGUACACAUAUUCAGCGAUAACUCAAACUCUGCCUAACGAAACUGAUUGGAAACCGUACAUAUUCUGUGGCAACUUAAGUUUUUACAUGUAGAAAUAAAAGAAACUGUACAAAUUCAGCGGUUAAGGGAAUAUUUGAUGAAAACUGUACUUAUUCUACCGUCACUGAAGUUUUGUAGAGAUAAGUAGAGGGAAAAAAAUGUACCGAUUCAGUAGAUUUUGCAAGGAAAGUAAAGCGAAACUGUACAAAUUCAGCAGUAAGAGGAAAGUAGAUGAAAACUGUACUUAUUCUGCAGUAUAUGAAGAGUAAAACAAGAAGUAAAGAAAAGUAAAUGAAAACUGUACUUAUUAUGCAGUAACUUAAGUAAAAAAAAAAGUAAAGAAGUAAGAAAAGUAACUGAAAUCUGUAUUUAUUCUGCGACAACUCAAUUCAAGCUGUUUGUAAAAGAAAAUUAAGUGAUAACUGUACACAAUCCGCAGCGAUUCAAGCUUUCUUAGACAUAAACUAAAACAAAACUGUACAAAUUCAGCGGCAACUCAAUGUUUUUCCGAGAACACACUGAAAACAAAACAAAAAACAAAAGAUAAUUUGUUCACACACACACAUUGAGGUUUUCCCAAGGCAUUGAAACUGAAAAAUUCGAAACAUUUACUGAAACAAAACUGUACAAAUUCAGCGGCAACUCAAUGUUUUCCGAGAACACACUGAAAACAAAACAAAAAACAAAAGAUAAUCUGUUCACACACACACUGAGGUUUUCCCAAGGCAUUGAAACUGAACAUUCUAAACAUUCACUGAAACAAAACUGUGCAAAUUCAGCGGCAACUCAAGCUUUUCCGAGUACAUACUGAAAUCAAAACAAAAAAGAUAAUCUGUUCACACACUGAGGUUUUCCCAAGGCAUUGAAACUGAAAAUUCUAAACAUUCACUGAAACAAAACCUUUUUCACAUCACAUAAUUUUCCUCCCGUUUUUCGACUGAGCUGAAAGAAAUAUUUACUGAAAAACGCGUAAAUAUUCCCAAGACACAUGAAACUCUCGGAAAAGAAAAUAUCACUUAAAAAACUAUCAAUAUUCCGUCGAUAAACAAGUUUGCUUUGACAUCACAGCGACAAGGAGAGACUAUUUUAAUAUUUUACUCUGCGAAAACUCAAAUAUUCCCGAGAAACAUGACAACCUCGGAAAGAAAGUAUUACUGAAAAACUCAAUAUUCCGUCGAUAUAUAACUUCACUUUGACAUCACAGCGACAAAGAGAGACUAUUUUCUUUCAAUAUUUUACUCUGCGAAAACUCAAAUAUUCCCGAGAAACAUGACAACCUCGGAAAGAAAGUAUUAUUGAAAAACUAAAUAUUCCGUCGAUAUAUAACUUCACUUUGACAUCACAGCGACAAGGAGAGACUAUUUUCUUUCAAUAUUUUACUCUGCGAAAACUCAAAUAUUCCCGAGAAACAUGACAACCUCGGAAAGAAAGUAUUACUGAAAAACUCAAUAUUCCGUCGAUAUAUUCCUUCACUUUGACAUCACAGCGACAAGGAGAGACUAUUUUCUUUCAAUAUUUUACUCUGCGCUUAAGAAAGUCUUGCCGUAAGUAAUCCUGCACUCAGAACUUAGAAAAAAAAAUAAUAAAAGUUAAUAAAAUAGUAAUGAUAUGCAAGUUAAGUUGAUUCAAGGUAUUCACUUCUAUCCUUAUACAUUAGCCUCUUUUUUAUCUCUUUCUUCUUUCAUUUCUCUCUCUCUCUUCCUUUUUUCAUCACUUUUUUUCUUUUAUCUCCCUCUUUCUUUCUUAUUUUAUCUCUCCUACUUUCACCACUAUCUCUCUUCUCUUAUCUCCCUCUCUCUUCUAUAAUCUCUUUCUCUUUUCUCUUUUGUCCAUGGAAUAGAUUUUAACCCCAAAGCAACAUAGCAAUACCGACGGAAGGAUUUUCUAAUGUAAUGAUUGCACGUAUUUGAAGAGGAUCAAGGUUACGAUUAAGUUUGAUCUGUCGCUAUUGAGUACAAAGUUCGCAUUGCAAGUUGCUCUUCCCUCCGUCACCUAACGCUUGGCACUGUGUUAAGUCUUUCCGGUCUGGUAACAGUGGCAGUAUGACCAUUUGAGUAAAGAAACGGAAAUAACUUAAAAAAAAAAAAAAAAUAGUCUACUCACUUUCUGACCAAAUAUAACUACCUAACCAAACACACCUGAAUCAUGUUUUCUACUAAUUUCCUUUCGAUCUCAUUCUAAUCCAUAAUAUCUUUCCGUGUAUUUUAAUCUUUCAUGACUAACCGAAGUAAAAAAAUAAA